CUGACUCUCACUCCGAUCCCCCUCCGUAAAAAUAUAGACUUCAUCGUCUCUUUGCAAAUAUCAGAAAACGAAACACAAUCAAGUUUUUUACUAAGAAGGGAAGUGGGAAGAGAUCCAUGAUUUCCCAAUCUAUGGGAUUCUGAAAUUAUGGAAAGCUCUACUAGUGAGGAAUCAGUUGGUUUAUGCAAAGGGGGACUGAGCCUAGUUCAAGCAAUUGCUAUUGCUGAUGCUGUUUUUAAUAUACCAACAAGAGAAGAUCUAGAUGGUCCUAUAGUUACUUUGCCUGCACCAACCACAAGGUUGCCCAGGCCCCAGGGAAAAGCCGCUUCCAGUGGGUAGACCACCUACAGCUUGGGAGACCUUUGCUAAAACAAAAGGGCCAGGAGAGGAUCCUUUCUAAGAGACAAACAGAAAAGAAGUAGCUUGUUGAAAAGUAUAAAAAGAACCGGUUAUGGUAUCUGAAGCAAGCUGCUAAAGUUGGUGGUUUGCCAAGAAAACUUAUCACCAAAUUUUAACGUGGAUUAGGAAGAUCAAGAAACUACCAGGAUAGAAGCAUCCUGGCAAAUUUCGAGAGAGCCAAGAACUUGAAAGUAGCAGAUAUUUUUACUGAUGGUGUGGAUUAGAAUUUGAGUGUCCGAAGAAGGAUGAAUGCUGGUGCAAGGGCUGAAUUAAUCAUGCUUACUUCUGACGUUACUUCUCUUUCUUUUAACUCUGAUGCAUAAGGUGAAUUGAUCGUCAUGGCAAGCUUCCGACAAGAGACAUGCUAAGAAGACGUGGAAUUGAUGGCCCUGCUGGUUGUUUUAGCUUGGCUUUUAUUCGCACCAAACGUAAAGCUAGAAGUAUCCUGAGGAAUUUGAUCCCUGCAGCGAUAAUCUGGUGCAUCUAGCAAGUAAGGAACGCGAGAAUUUUUUUCUGACAAGGUUAGCAAUUCUGUGGCUGUGGUUUACAAGGCUAUCUACUUUUGUUCACUUGGUCAUUAGUGGUAUAGGAGUUGGUGUCCAUUAGUUCAGUUGAUGUAAUGCAAAACCGGCACAAUUUUUUCUUUGAUCCUCCUUGAGCUUUGAUUACCAUUAGAGUAUUAGUAAUCCCUGGCAAUUUACUGGUCUAGCAUGUUUGCCAUACUUUGACAGUUGUAAUUCUUCUCACAAGAUAAAAUCUUAACCAAAGGUUUAAUACAGAUCGUAAA